rnacentral:rRNA from 1 species
CACGUAGGGGACGAGCGUUGUCCGGAGUUACUGGGCGUAAAGGGCGUGUAGGUGGUUUCGUAAGUCUGGCGUGAAAUUUUUCGGCUUAACCGGGAAAGGUCGUCGGAUACUGCGAGGCUAGAGGACGGUAGAGGCGUGUGGAAUUCCGGGUGUAGUGGUGAAAUGCGUAGAGAUCCGGAGGAACACCAGUGGCGAAGGCGACACGCUGGGCCGUACCUGACACUGAUGCGCGACAGCAUGGGGAGCAAACAGG